UACGAAGGGUGCAAGCGUUAAUCGGAAUUACUGGGCGUAAAGCGUGCGUAGGUGGUUUGUUAAGUCUGCUGUGAAAGCCCGGGGCUUAACCCCGGAAUUGCACCUAAAACUACAUGGCUAGAGCAUUGGAGAGGGUAGCGGAAUUCACGGUGUAGCAGUGAAAUGCGUAGAUAUCGUGAGGAACACCAGAGGCGAAGGCGGCUACCUGGACAAUUGCUGACGCUCAGGCACGAAAGCGUGGGGAGCAAAAGGG
rnacentral:rRNA from 1 species